rnacentral:rRNA from 1 species
AGAGUUUGAUCCUGGCUCAGGACGAACGCUGGCGGCGUGCCUAAUACAUGCAAGUAGAACGCUGAAGAGAGGAGCUUGCUCUUCUUGGAUGAGUUGCGAACGGGUGAGUAACGCGUAGGUAACCUGCCUGGUAGCGGGGGAUAACUAUUGGAAACGAUAGCUAAUACCGCAUAAAAUGAAUUAUCGCAUGAUAAUCCAUUGAAAGGUGCAAAUGCAUCACUACCAGAUGGACCUGCGUCGUAUUAGCUAGUUGGUGGGGUAACGGCUCACCAAGGCGACGAUACAUAGCCGACCUGAGAGGGUGAUCGGCCACACUGGGACUGAGACACGGCCCAGACUCCUACGGGAGGCAGCAGUGGGGAAUAUUGCGCAAUGGGGGCAACCCUGACGCAGCCAUGCCGCGUGAAUGAAGAAGGCCUUCGGGUUGUAAAGUUCUUUCGGUAGCGAGGAAGGCACUUAGUUUAAUAAACUAGGUGAUUGACGUUAACUACAGAAGAAGCACCGGCUAACUCCGUGCCAGCAGCCGCGGUAAUACGGAGGGUGCGAGCGUUAAUCGGAAUAACUGGGCGUAAAGGGCACGCAGGCGGUUCCUUAAGUCUGAUGUGAAAGCCCCCGGCUCAACCGGGGAGGGUCAUUGGAAACUGGGGAACUUGAGUGCGGAAGAGGAGAGUGGAAUUCCAUGUGUAGCGGUGAAAUGCGUAGAUAUAUGGAGGAACACCGGUGGCGAAAGCGGCUCUCUGGCUUGUAACUGACGCUGAGGCUCGAAAGCGUGGGGAGCAAACAGGAUUAGAUACCCUGGUAGUCCACGCCGUAAACGAUGAGUGCUAGGUGUUAGACCCUUUCCGGGGUUUAGUGCCGCAGCUAACGCAUUAAGCACUCCGCCUGGGGAGUACGACGCAAGGUUGAAACUCAAGGAUUGACGGGGCCCGCACAGCGUGAGCAUGUGGUUUAAUUCGAAGCAACGCGAAGAACCUUACCAGGUCUUGACAUCCCUCU